rnacentral:misc_RNA from 1 species
CAACCCUCAAGCUCUGCUUGGUGUUGGGGAUCGGCGUAGCGCCCUCGGGCGUCGCCGUCCCCUAAAUCUAGUGGCGGUCCCGCUGUAGCCUCCUCUGCGUAGUAGUUUUCUCCUCGCACUGGAAUCUCGGCGGUGCCCUGCCGUAAAACCCCCAACUUACCGAAA